UCGCAGAGGUAAAUAAGAUGUGCCUCUUAACCCUGUGAAUUGCUGGAAACUCUUUAAUAUAGCGCCACUUCAAGAAUAAUCAUCAAUAAGGCUCAUUGAUGAUUGGGGUGAGUUUUUUGAGGCGUUACGAUGCAACACUGGUUCACUUCCCGGAUAGUAUUUUGCAUAGCUUGAGUGAAGUGGAAAAUGUACUUGCAUCAUAACUUAUCAUAUUAGCCACAACGUAACUGGAAACGGUAAGCGUGAAGGCGUGAAAAUAAUGUGAUGAUAAAGACAAUCAGCAGCCAAGCCCCUACGUCUGUUUUUUUGAUAUGGGGAAGGUCCAACGACCAUCGAAAGCACGCACGGUAUAGAUGCGGAAGCGAGUAGAGUAGGAUUCAAGCGAAUCCGAAGUGCAGGGGCGCUGUCAUUGCGAUAGCGUAAGAUAUGGUCUGAACUCUAUGGUGACAUAGAG
rnacentral:ncRNA from 1 species